rnacentral:rRNA from 1 species
GAUGAACGCUGGCGGCGUGCCUAAUACAUGCAAGUCGAGCGAACAGACGAGGAGCUUGCUCCUUCGACGUUAGCGGCGGACGGGUGAGUAACACGUAGGUAACCUACCUAUGAGACUGGGAUAACUUCGGGAAACCGGAGCUAAUACCGGAUAAUAUUUCGAACCGCAUGGUUCGAUAGUGAAAGAUGGCUUUGCUAUCACUUAUAGAUGGACCUGCGCCGUAUUAGCUAGUUGGUAAGGUAACGGCUUACCAAGGCAACGAUACGUAGCCGACCUGAGAGGGUGAUCGGCCACACUGGAACUGAGACACGGUCCAGACUCCUACGGGAGGCAGCAGUAGGGAAUCUUCCGCAAUGGGCGAAAGCCUGACGGAGCAACGCCGCGUGAGUGAUGAAGGUCUUCGGAUCGUAAAACUCUGUUAUUAGGGAAGAACAAACGUGUAAGUAACUGUGCACGUCUUGACGGUACCUAAUCAGAAAGCCACGGCUAACUACGUG